UGCAUGCGCAAGAGGGAGAAAGACUAUGCCAAAGAGAAAGAAUGAGAAGGUGAGGACAAGUGAAAGGCUAUGAGAGACAGGCAGGGCCAGGGAGCCUCCAAGAACAGUUUCUCCCCAUUAGUUCUCCCUGUGGGGCCACAGUUAGAACUAGGGUCCCUUCGUCCCACCCCGUGCGCCCAUUAGUCCAGCUUCGACGUGGGCCGUCUUUCCCCACCACGUGGACCGCCUGGGCCACGUAAAGGGCUCCGUGGGGCAGCCCCAGCCUCCGGGCCCAUCUGUUAAAGCAGAGCGUCCAUCUCUGAAGUGCGAGCGGGAAUGGAAGCCCAGCUCCAGUGACUGAGACGGUGGAGACGGCCCCACAGUCGGCCGAGAGAAGGCGCCCGCGCGAGAGCAGCACAGGGGAAGGCAUUUGAAAGCAUGUACUGUGAGAAGGACAUCUCACAGGUUGGGCCCGGCUCCCCCUGAAGCUGUGGCAACAGAGAGACCCUAGAACUACUAACACGUGCCAGCCAAAAAGGUCAUCUUAAUCAGGUCUUUGAUUACUAAAGAAACCUGGAUUUUUUCCUUAGUAAAAGCUAACCUUCAAUAUUGAAAAUGCCCUCGCUGACUUUGAUGCAAAGGCAGCAGUCACAAAAGGCUGUGGAUACGUUCCCUGACAUUACUGAAGGGCAUCUGUGAUUGGGUUAAGCUCUUGAGAUGGAGAAAGUAUUCUGUACUAUCCGGGUGGGCCCAGUGUAACCACGGGGGUCCUUAUUAGAGGGACGUCAGAAUCAGAGAAGGAAAUGUGAGGAUGGAAACAGGAGUAGGAGAUAUACAGGGCUAUGAGCCAAGGAAUUCAGGAAGCUUCUAGAAGCUGGAUACAGCAAGGAAUCAUAUUUUUUUCUGUUUAAGAUUCCAGAAUAACAUAGCCCUUCUAACCCAUUUCAGACUUCUGACACCCAUAACAAUGAGAUAAUAAACUUGUACUUUUUUAAGCCACUAAAUUCAUACUAAUUUGUUACAAAAGGAAACUAAUACAGCUUCAUGCUCAGCAAGAGCUUCAAAUUUACUAUUACACAUACACAUACACAUACACAGGCAAAAUCUGUCCAUUAAAAGUCCAGCCAUUGUUACUAUAACAAGAACAGUUUGUAUGACAUGGAUGUUACCUGCCAGCCAAAGAGAUUGGACUGGAAUGUGCAUGCAUGAACAAUGACAACUUCACUGUUCUAGUCAGUGGGGAG